rnacentral:lncRNA from 1 species
AUCUGGUGAAGUUAUUAAUUAUCAGGCCUUCACAAACUUGAAAGGCAUUUAUACAGUGGCAGAGACCAUGCCUGAGAGCGAUCGGUGGGUGUCAUGCUUAGCAAGGCCCAUCAGCAGCUACCAUGAGCAGUGCACUCGGAAGGGAGAUGCCCACUCCGGGGUCAAGUUCACUUACAAUUUGCCAUCUGGAAACUCUCACACUGUCAGGCCAUUCCUUUACAAACCUGUUUCCGUGCCAAUGUAUUGCAGCUGAAAGAUGUACUGUAUGUUGGGAAACAUACCAGUAAAUAUAUAGUACAAACUCAUGUAUGUUGGUUGAGUGGAGGAAGAAGGAAUCCUAAAGCCUAUAGAAUAUCAAGUUGGUUGUGCAUACUUGAUGUAACAAAAUGACUGUAUUUGCUAUACCGGUUAUCUGUGUUCAUUAGCUCCAAUUUCUGCUGUCUGUGUUUCUUUUGUCCCCAGCUAGUGCAAGAUCAAGAUACUCGCGGGGAAGUUGAUGCAUGGAGACCGGCAUGCUGUUCUGUCUUAAUGCUGCUACUGAUCUUGUGGCAUGCGAAAAUGAGUUUCUUUCCCUGAAUGCAGGAUUGCGAGGGAAUCAUGGAACUCGAGAUGAUAAGUCUGACAAGCAGCUAAUGCUGUAGCAUGCUCUCUGGCAUGUCUGAAACUCAUGGCAUAUCAGAUGUCGAGGUCGUCUUUUAUGAUAAGAAGGCAGUGCUUAUGCUGACUCCUGAUGGUCAUGACUUCAUGACUACUUGGAACUUGUCAGGGCUUCACAACUCUAUUGGCGCUCACAUUUAUGAGAUGCUUUUGCCAGGUCUCUUAUGCCCUGCUCCUGAGUACCCAGCAAUUUCUUGCUUUGCACAAACCCCUUUUUUUUUCCUGUUUCUUAUCCUUCUGUGCCAUGAGCCAAAUGAAGACUUUUUAGCCCUAUCUGGAUGCUGGAAGAUCUUACUGGUGUGAUAGGAUUCCCUGCAAGUUUAUGUGCAUAGCUUUCGGUCAGAAGUUAUACUGGAAGCCAAGCCCUUCAAAGAGAGCCUGAGGGGACCAGCUUGUUGGAACGGACUCACCAAAAGAGUCCGAGUCUUCUGCGCAAGAGAAGGAGAAGUCCAAUUCUAGAAAUUCAUAGCUGCCAUAAUAGUUGUAAAUUUGAAAUUUGAAUUUUAAAUUCGUUCAAAUUUGGACUCAUCAGAAGAAGAAUUCUUAGCUGUUAUAACAGCUGCCAAAUUUAGACCCACCAGAAGACGUGUAUACGAGCCAACCAUCUGGCUUCACACAUCUAGACUUUCCUUACUAUGUUUGUAAGCUUCAUAAAAGCUUGUAUGGACUACGUCAAGUUCUCCAGGCCUAAUUCUAAUGCUUGACAGAUAAGCUGUAGAGUUAUGGCUUCAUUGGCUUCAAAGCGGACAGUUCUUUGUACACAUUGCAUCGAGGUCAGCUUCAUAUCUAUUUCCUCAUUUAUGUUGAUGACAUAAUUAUCAUUGAAUUCGAUGCUCAUGAAGUCACCAAAAUCAUUAACUUGCUCAGCCAAGAUUUUUCUGUCAAAGACCUUGGCAACUUAAGUUUUUUUCUUGGAGUGGAAGCCUUACGAAUACCCUCUAGUAUCUUCCUCACUCAAUGAAAGUACAUCGUUGAUCUUUUACAAAAGGUCUCUCUGGAUAAAGUUAAACCUUGUAGCACCCUGAUGUCUACUUCCUGUCAGUUAUCAAAAUUUGAAGGUCAAGAAUUUGAUGAUCCUCAUCUCUAUCGAAGUACUGUUGGCGCCUUAUACUAUUUGGGCUUUACUAGACCAGACAUUGCAUUCGCAGUCCACAAAGUCAGCAAAUAUAUGCAUCAACCCCGGGUAUCUCACUGGCAAGCUGUUAAAAGAAUACUAAGGUAUCUCAAAAUACAAUUUCCUAUGGUCUCCAGUUAUUCUUUCAUUCGCGUCACACUCUGCAUAGUUACACUGACGCUAAUUGGGCUGGGGACUGUGAUGACAGAAGAAAUGUUGGUGCUUAGUGUUUUUCAUAGUGCAAGUUUAGUUAGUUGGAGUUGCAAACAACAACAAACAGUUGCGAGAAGUAGCAUUGAAUCAUAAUACAAAUCCCUGUCCAACACCGCUAUAGAGCUUCAAUGGUUGCAGUCCAUACUUAAUGAUCUUCAUUUGCCCUUAUAAGAAACUCCUACAUUGUGGUGUGACAACAUAGAUGCUACCUACCUCUCCUCCAAUCUAGUCUUCUAUGCAAGAACGAAGCAUAUUGAAAUCAGUUUUCAUACCGUGUGAGAGCAGGUGAUGAAGAAAUAACUGAGAGUGUCAUUUUAUCGUCAAAAGAUCAGAUAGCCGAUCUACUUACAAAAUCUCUAUCAGUAGUGAGGUUCACGCAUCUUCGAGACAAUCUUCAUGUGCAAGAACUGCACAUUCGAAUGCGGGGGCGUGUUGGAACGGACUCACCAGAAGAGUCUGAGUCUUCCGGGCAAGUGAAGGAGAAGCCCAAUUCCAGAAAUUCAUAGCUGCCAUAAUAGUUGUAAAUCUGAAUUUCAAAUUCGUUCAAAUCUGAAUGUCAAAUUCAUUCAAAUAGUCAGCUUUGCUCGAAAGAAAGGUUAAUCAACGGUUAGCACUUAUUUUCAUUCCCCAACAUUCUCCUCGUCCUCCAAUAGAAUUUGAAGAAAAACAUAGCAGAGAGGUGAAAUUUUAGAUCGUUAGGUCUUUACACACGAACAGAACACAGGUUGUUGCUUCAUUUUUCUCUAGGAAGCAACUACUUUGCUGUGUAAAACUGGGAAAAAAGGGCUGUGAUCAUUUCAUUUGUAAUACAAAAGUUUCUUAUGGUGUUAAGAAUUUGAAGUCAUGGUUCCUGUUCGUUAUUGUUCAGUACCUUGUCUCCAUGUCAGAUCUCCAGUUUCUCCAUUUGAAUGAGGGAUAGCGUGCAGGCUGAUGGCUUUUUUCUCUCUUUCUUUACAUGCUUAGGCAAGUUCUCAAGCUUUUCACUGGAAUAUAAAACCAUGGAAAAGAACGUGGGAUUGGUUAGAUCCGCGCCAUCUAUUGGACUUAAUGGAGUGGAUUCUUCCCCAAACUAUUGUUAUAUAAAUCCCAGUGGCGAUAGAAUUGUCUUUUAGUCUCUUAAUUUGUUGCUCCAUAUAGGCUUCAAGAUGGGACCGGUAAGCUUCAAAAUUAACGUUUUUCCUUUGUUUUUAACGAGCUGAAUGCGUCAGGGGCCGGCUUUUUGUUGCAUAAAUUAUUCACGCACACCUCGAUUCCGCUGGCUGCAUGUUCUUUCUUCCAAGUUCCGGCAAGCACUAAGUCAAACAUACGGUGGCCCGGCUCCACUCACACAGCCGGUAGAAAAAGCCCAACGCAAUUAAAAUAUUUUGACCACAGAAGCUUCCGCAGCUCCAGCUUGCUUUUGUUUUUUGUUUUUUUGUUUUUUUAUUUUUGUUGCUGAAACGAAUAUUUCAUACAUCACGGAUACGAAUAUACCUAAUAGAAUCGGCAAACAAAAGGUUCCGAAAUGCAACAGACAUCUCACCCUCUCCAACCCACAGGGUGCCUCCUAAGUAGCUCGUUACAUAUGCCGCAACCUAAUCCGCCGCUCUGUUAGCCUCAUGAUAUACAUGCAUAGCCUGAAAUAUAAUGCCCUUCCUCACCAUCAACCAAAUAUCACGGUGCAGGAGAUGAACAUCUCCAUUUCUACUUGUGUCCCGUUGGACCUAGCCGAUCACCGUGGCCGAAUCACGCUCCAAGAGGAUGGAGGUUGCCUGAAGCACGUGCCGCACAUAAUGCAAUCCCAUCCAAGCCGUCUGUAACACUGUUCUGGAAAUCGAGGUAUCGAAGAUCUGACAUCCCCCGCUGCGACCACACUCGAACUCGGGCCCUUGAUGACAAACCCGACCCCUCCUAUCCUACCUCCAUCCAAAAAGAACCAUCAAAAUUGACCUUGAGGAAACUCGGAGGUGGAGGCUUCCAGGUGAAGAAAACCGUAUGAGGAGUUGCCGAAGCAAUGUGGGGGCACCAGGUAUCCCGAGCUGUCAAUAGUCUGUAGUCUAACCCUACCCGAAGAAUCUCUGUUGUCUGUGCCUGAGUCCGCUCCAUCACGAAACGUGAGGAUGGACUAAGCCCGCCAGAUAUCUGAACGUUUCUGGCCAUCCAUACUUGAUAAGCUAUGCAAGCCGCCCUAAUGGCCAGCUUUAUUCUCUAACUUGAUUCCCAAGACAGAGCGUCCGAUAUACGUCCAAAACCGUGGGCAGUUUCUCUUUGGACUUGCGGACAAGUCAAAGACGACGUUUGAGACUUCAUGGCCGAUAAAAUGGCAUUACCUACUGCUACUUCUUUACCCCUCGCACCUCCCAAGUUUGACCAAAAGAUAAACAAGAGAAGAGAGAACCAUGGGAGAGUUCCUCCCUAUUCUUCCGAUAGCUUCUGUACUCGCGGUCCUGCUGUUCUGUGGGCUGAAGGCGUUCUACUCCCUAUGGUGGAAGCCCAAAGCUCUGGAGAAGCAACUAAGGGAGCAAGGCGUCCGAGGCAAUCCUUACAGGAUCCUCUAUGGGGACACGAAAGAUGAGAUACGAGCCGCGAAGGAAGCAUGGUCCAAGCCUAUCGCUCUCACCCAUCAUAUUGCGCCACGGGUGGCACCGUUCGCUUAUCAGACAGUUCAGAAAUACGGUAAGAAAACUGCUGCUUGAUUUGGAUACCUUCAUGAUAUACCGGCAUCACUUGAAGAUUUGAUGCUUCUUCUUGGGUAAUUUGGGAGCACAGGGAAGACAUCUCUGGUGUGGUUUGGAACAACUCCGAGGGUGAUUCUGUGGGACCCACAGACGAUAAGGGAGGUGCUGUUGGAUAAGCUGGGCCAGUUCAAGAAGCCACCGUUUAACCCUCUGAUAAGGCUUCUAGCCAGGGGGGUCUCCAGUCUCGAAGGAGAGGAGUGGGCAAAGCGACGGAGGGUCAUCACCCCGGCCUUUCACCUUGAAAAAUUAAAGGUUUUGGAAUCCUACUUCCUUUGCCUCCUAGUAAACAAGAGACCUAAAUUGAUCCGAUCGGAAAAAAAAAAAAAGAAUUUCCUUCAACUCAAUCUCUCUUAAAAAAAACUAGAGGAAGAUGGAAGAAUUACGAAAGUAGAGUGUAAUCUCCUUUUCUUUCGUUGAUGUUCUUAAAAACUAACGUACAUAGCCGUUACACAAUUUAGGUUGAAUUCAUCUUUCUAGUUUUGUUGGGAUUUUUUUUCUAUCUGCUUUCGUCAGAUUUCUCUUCCUAAUCCUAGUAGGACUUUUUUUCUUAAAAUAGAUAUUACUAGUAGAAAUCUUUAAGAAAAAGCUAAAAUUUUUGAGGAGGUAGUCUCGACUUCUAAAUCAACUUUGCCUUUUAUUGCUCUACAUAAUUCUUCUUGAAUAGAGAGAUACAUUUAAUCAAAAUCUUAUCUGAAAAGAAAACUUUCGGUUUGACCGGCCCAUUUUGGGCUCCAAACGAUAGAAUUUGGACUUGAUCGCUAUGGGCCGCCCCCUAAAGGGCAGACAUCAUGUUGUAUAUCUCGAAAAACUGUCUGAUUUUAAAAAAAAAUCAUCUCAAUCGAACGUCGUACAACCAAGUUAUGGCCUCCAGAAGUUUGGCCUGCAACUCAGCUUUCCGAUGUGGCGAAUCUUGCUCCUAAACCUUGUCUAGCCAUGUUCGUAGUACCAAAAUGUUUCAUAUCAAUCUAGGGAUCCUCUUGGAUCAUAAAUAUAGCAUAAAUGUAACUUAACUUUCUAAUGCUAUUAAUCGCUAGACUAAGCUAAGUAACCAUGCAUGGGAUGGGAUAUAAUACAAUUACCAUUCACCACUAGGAGUCUCGGAAGAAAAGCUUUUAUCUUAACAUCAUUCGCAGUGUUGUCCUAAAACAAAGGCUUUCUUGACUUCUUUUUUGUUGACAAUUUGCUAAUCAAAUUGCCAAUAAUAUAGAUGGGACCAACUAAGAGUGGUAGAAAAAGUUUGUUAUUUAGAGGAAAAUUCAUAGGAAAUUGCAAAGUGGUGGUGCUUGUUCAAGCCAUCAACUCCAACAAUGUUCUUAUAUUCAUUAUACUUGCUGACAUUAUAGAUGAAUGCAACAAACUUUAGUCAGAACUCUUUUUCUGUUGAUUGAAUGCAUCCCCUUUUAUAACAUUAAUAUUAAACGAGACUUAAUAACUAAACUUGGAUAACAAAAGAUCUGCGGUGGAAAAAUCCAGGCAACAGUGCUGUGCGUGUGCGUUUGUGUCUGUUAAAUAGAAUGUAGCGAGUAGUUCUUGCGUGACAUUUGUUGGUUACAGGGAAUGGUGCCUGCCUUUCUGAUCAGCUGUGUUGAUUUAAUAAAAAGAUGGCAGAACUUAACUAGCACUGAAGGAUCUUGUGAGAUAGACAUUUGGCCUGAGUUUCAGAAUCUGACAGGAGACGUGAUCUCUCGAACAGCCUUUGGAAGCAGCUAUGAGGAAGGAAAGAAAAUAUUUGAACUACAAAAGGAGCAAGCUGUCCUGGUCAUAGAAGCUGCCCGAGUCCCCUAUAUACCAGGAUUCAGGUGAAAUUAUUAUUAUUAUUAUGAUUGUAUGAUGCACGUGUAUUCUCUGUUAAUCAAUAAGAUAGAUCUAAACACAUAAGAGAUCUAAUAAACAUAAAUCCCAAGACCUUCAACUAUCAUGCUUUUCACAAAUAUAAAUAUAAGGCUUAAGUAAUUUAGAAGACAUACCGGAAUCCAUGAGAGUAAGUCUUCUUCUUCUUGUUGAAAUCUUUAGAGUAGACACUAUGAUUUCUCUCACUUAGCCCUCAAUUCAUAUACACCAAAAUGAUGGAGAUAGUGUUCAUUUAUAGGGUAGAGAGAGGACCACAUUUCCAACCUUCUACAUACCAUAAGACUCUCCACCGUCCAUCAAAGUACGAGUUUCAAGAGGAAAUUAACUUCUCACAAAUUUGACCAUUAACACACUUUAUGGGAAAUUGAAAGAGCCAAGUAACUUAGGAGUCAAAUAAACCAAAAGUCAUUCAACAUUUUGGUCAUGUGGGACAUAAAAUAUCUUACACUCUCUUCCAUAUUAGAUGGUCUGGUUUACGUACUUAAUUCAGAUUCUUUUAGCAUUCAUUACGUACUCGGUGCAGAUUCCUUCCUACUGCAAAGAAUAAGAGGAGAAUGCACAUAGACAGAGAGAUCAAGACCAUGCUAAGAAAUAUGAUUGGAAAGAAGUUGAAUUCCAUGAAAAUGGGAGGAUCUCUCGGCUCCGACUUGCUUGACUUGUUGCUGCAGUUCGGUAAUAAUAGUGAUCAGAAGAACUAUAGUAUUACUAUCGAUGAGGUGAUAGAAGAGUGCAAGCUCUUCUACUUUGCUGGUCAAGAGACAACCUCAGUGUGGCUAACAUGGACGAUGAUUCUCCUGUCCAUUCAUCCAAAUUGGCAACAAAGAGCAAGGGAAGAAGUUCUGAAAAUCUGUGGGAAGAAUACACCUGAUUUUGAAUCACUAGGACACUUUAAAAUCGUGAGCAUCAGCGCUUCACUGUUGCUAUCCAGAUAUCUGUUUCACUUCUAAUAGGCUAAAGUCACACUUCUUUCUGUCUAUUUACACUUGCUAUCUUCAAUUACAGGUAACCAUGAUACUUUAUGAAGUUCUAAGAUUGUAUCCACCCCUGACCUCUCUCUUUCGACGUGCAAUUAAGGAAACAAAGCUAGGAGAGUUCUCUGUCCCUGCUGGCACCGAUAUCUGGCUACCCACAAUCCUCAUCCACCAUGAUCGAGAAUUUUGGGGCGAAGAUGCCAAUGAGUUCAAUCCAGAGAGAUUUUCAGAAGGGGUUUCAAAGGCAUCAAAAGUUCAAAAUGCAUUCUUUCCUUUUGGAUGGGGACCAAGGAUAUGUUUGGGCCAGAGUUUCGCAAUAAUAGAAGCAAAGAUGGCUUUGGCUACUAUUCUCCAACACUUUUCCUUGGAGCUGUCACCUUCCUAUGCUCAUGCUCCUUAUACAGUUCUUACUCUUCAGCCACAAUUUGGAGCUCAUAUCAUCCUUCAUCAACUUUUAUACUAGUAAAGGUUGUUAAAAUUUCAGUGCAAGUGCUCUGUUUCAAUUAUUUUCUUGGUAUUUGCAGUAAUACUACUCUUACCAUAUGAUCUUAUAUAACACCAACAUAUAUGUAAAGGUAAAGGUGUGUCCUUGAAAUGGAUGGAUUCAAUCUUUCUUAUUGGAGAGUGUUUGCAAUCCCUAUUUGUAUUGGAUGGAUGAUAGGAGCUCUAGUGCUGAUACUCUAUUUCUGGUUCUGCAUUAAACGAAAGCUAAUCUUUAUAACUAACAUCUCCAUCACAGCUUUCUCAUUUUAUAAAAUGCAUACCUGCAAGAAUUGACUAUUUGUAGGCUCAUGAAGAGGAAAAUGAUGUUAAGAACCUCUCAGUUUCCAUCAUACUAGAGCAAAAGUCCUAUUCCAUAACCUUGAAGCCGAGUGGUUUAAGUGGGCAAUGCCUGGAGCAAGAAGCAUGGUUUGCUGUCAUGUCUACCAGAUUAUUUGAGUAAACGGCAGUUGUAUCUGGAUAGAUGAAGAUAUUGCCUUCUGUUCUUUUGACCGGAAAAACUAUAACAACCCAGGACCUCACCCAAAAUGGCUAGCCGGAAGAUAUUAUUUGGGUUCCUUGACCUUGUAUAAGUAUCGAAGAUCUACCCAGCGAAUAACUGAUAUGGAACUAAACACACGCUCGCACGGGUCCUUCCAUAUUCCCUCCGUUCAAGCCUUAACGUCCUCGUCAAACUAAGGGUUCAAAUCCAUUCAAAUCUAAUCACAAACACCACAAUCGGUUCAUAGUUAGCCCCAAUAGAUCCGUGCUGCAGUGUCCCCUAGUCCACAUAGAUUAUGAGCUGGGUCUGCUCUGAUACCAUAUGUNNNNNNNNNNNNNNNNNNNNNNNNNNNNNNNNNNNNNNNNNNNNNNNNNNNNNNNNNNNNNNNNNNNNNNNNNNNNNNNNNNNNNNNNNNNNNNNNNNNNNNNNNNNNNNNNNNNNNNNNNNNNNNNNNNNNNNNNNNNNNNNNNNNNNNNNNNNNNNNNNNNNNNNNNNNNNNNNNNNNNNNNNNNNNNNNNNNNNNNNNNNNNNNNNNNNNNNCACGAUUGACCCGUGGUCAGCCCCAAUGGAUCCGUACUGCAGUAUCACCUAGUCCACAUAGGUUAUGGGUCAGGUCCGCUCCGAUACCAUUUGUAACAACCCAGGACCUCAUCCAAAAUGGCUAGCCGGAAGGUAUUAUUUGGGUUCCUUGAUCCUGUAUAAAUACCCAAGAUCUACCUAGCGAAUAACUGAUGUAGGACUAAACACACGCCCGCACAGGUCCUCACAAAAAUGGAAUUAAAAGUAAUUCUAUACUUGGAACUUUGUUUAUGGAUUCUACUUUUCGCUCUUUAUUGUUGUAAUGUCUGUAUCAGUGCUCCAUUGUUAAUGAGGUGAAAUUUUAGAUCGUUAGGUCUUUACACACGAACAGAGCACAGGUGGUUGCUUCAUGUUUCUCUAGGAAGCAACUAGUUGCUGUGUAAAACAGGGAAAAAAGGGCUGUGAUCAUUUCAUUUGUAAUAGCAAAUUUUCUUAUGGUGCUAAGAAUUUGAAGUCAUGGUUCCUAUUCGUUAUUGAUCAGUACCUUGUCUCCAUGUCAGAUCUCCAGUUUCUCCAUUUAAAUGAGGGAUAGCGUGCAGGCUGAUGGCUUUUUUCUCUCUAUCUUUACAUGCUUAGGAAAGUUCUCAAGCUUUUCACUGGAAUUUAAAACCAUGGAAAAGAACGUGGGAUUUGUUAGAUCUGCGCCAUCUAUUGAGCUUAAUGGAGUCUUUUAAUCUCUUUCUUGCUCCGUAUAGGCUUCAAGAUGGGCCCAGUAAGCUUCAUAAUUAACCUCUUUUUUUUUUAAUGAGCUGAAUGCGUCCUGGGCCGGCUUUUUGUUGCAUAAAUUAUUCACGCACACCUCGAUUCCGCUGGCUGCAUGUUCUUUCUUCCAAGUUCGGACAAGCACAAAGUCAACUCCACUCACACAGCCAGUAGAAGCAGCCCAACGCCAUUAAAAUAUUUUAACCACAGAAGCUUCCGCAGCUCCAGCUUUGUUCUCUAACUUGAUUCCCAAGGCAGAGCACUUUCUUUGGACUUGCGGACAAGUCAAAGACGAAGUUUGAUACUUCAUGGCCGAUAAAAUGGCAUUACCUACUGCUACUUCCUUACCCCUCGCAACUUCCAAGUUCCAAGUUUCAACUAAAGAUAAACAAGAGAAGAGAGAACCAUGGGAGAGUUCCUCCCUCUUCUUCCGUUAGCUUCUGUACUCGCUGUCCUGCUGUUCUGUGGGCUGAAGGCGUUCUACUCCCUAUGGUGGAAGCCCAAAGCUCUGGAGAAGCAACUAAGGGAGCAAGGCGUCCGAGGCAAUCCUUACAGGAUCCUCUAUGGGGACAUGAAAGAUGAGAUGCAAGCCGUAAAGGAAGCAUGGUCCAAGCCCAUCGCUCUCACCCAUCAGAUUGUGCCACGAGUCGCGCCAUUCGCUUAUCAGACAGUUCAGAAAUACGGUAAGAAAACUGCCGCUUGAUUUGGAUACCGUCAUGAUAUUCCGGCAUCACUUCAAGAUUUGAUGCUUCUUCUUGGGUAAUUUGGGAGCACAGGGAAGACAUCUCUGGUGUGGAUUGGAACAACUCCGAGGGUGAUUCUGUGGGACCCACAGACGAUGAGGGAGGUGCUGUUGGAUAAGCUGGGCCAGUUCCAGAAACCACCAUUUAACCCUCUCGUAAGGCUUCUAGCCAGGGGGGUCGCCAGUCUCGAAGGCGAGGAGUGGGCUAAGCGAAGGAGGGUCAUCACCCCGGCCUUUCACCUUGAAAAAUUGAAGGUUUUGAAAUCCUACUUCCUUUGCCUCAUAGUAAAGAAGAGACCUAAAUUAAUCCGGUCGGGGAAAAAAAAAAGAUUUCUUUCAACUUCGAAUCUCUCACAAAAAAGUUAAAAGAAGAUAGAAAAAUUGUGAAAGUAGAGUUUAAAUCUACUUUUCUUUCAUUGGUGAUCUUAAAAACUAAGCUACAUAGCUGUUAUUUAUAACAGUAAGGUCCACCCUUACAUAAUUUAGGUUGAAUUCGUCUUCCUAAUUCUAGUGGGAUUCUAUUUCUGUUCGCUCAUUCUAAUCUUAGUAGGACUCUCUUUUCUAAAAUAGAUACCACUAGUAGAAAUCUUCUAGAAAAAGCUAAAAUUCUUGAGAAGGUAGAUGUCGAUUUCUACAUCAACUCUGCCUUUUGUCGCUCAAUAUAAUUCUUUUCUGAUAGAGAGAUACAUUCGGUCAAAAUCUUACCUCAAAAGAAAACUUUCGGUUUGAUCGAUCCAUUUCAGGCCCAAACAAUAGAAUUUGGCCUCGAUCGCUAAGGGUUGCCCCCUAAAGGGCGGGGCAUCACAUUGUAUAUCUUGAAAAACUAACUAAUUAAAAAAAAAAUUAUCUCAAUUGAACGUCAUAUGACCAAGUUAUGGCCUUCAAAAAUUUGGUCUGUGACUCAGCUUCCUGAUGUGGCGGAUCUUGCUCCUGAAUCCUGUCUAGCCCUAUUCAUAGUAGCCAAAAUGGUUCGUAUCGAUCUAGGAAUCCUCUUGGAUCAUAAAUAUAGCAUAAAUAUAACUUAUUUCUAAUGCUAUUAAUCAUCCAACUAAGCCAACUAAUCAUGUAUGGGAUGGGAUAUAAUACAAUUACCAUUCACCACUAGGAGUCUCAGAAGAAAAGCUUUUAUCUUAACAUCAUUCGCAGUGUUGUCCUAAAACGAAGGCUUUCUUGACUUCUUUGAUGUUGAUUAGUUGCUAAUCAAAUUGCAAAUAAUAUAGAUGGUAGGAGUGGUAGAAAAAGUCCGUUUUUUAUAGUGAAAUGUAGAAGAUACCUCAUAAUGACUUGUAGAUUAGAGGAAAAGUCAUAGGAAAUUGCAAAGUGUUAGUGCUUGUUCAAGCCAUCAUCUCCAACAAUGUUCUUAUAUUCAAUAUACUUGUUGACAUUAUAGAUGAAUGCAACAAACUUUAAGCCUGAAAGUCAGAACUUUUUUUUCUGUUGAUUGAAUGCAUCCCCUUUUAUAACAUUAAUAUUAAACGAGACCUAAUAACUAAGCUUGGAUAACAAUAGAUCUGCAGUGGAAAAAUCCACGCAACAGUGCUGUGCGUGCGUGUUUGUGUCUGUUAAAUAGAACGUAGCGGGUCGUUCUUACGUGACAUUUGUUGGUUACAGGGAAUGGUGCCUGCCUUUCUGAUCAGCUGUGUUGAUUUAAUAAAAAGAUGGCAGAACUUAACUAGCGCUGAGGGAUCUUGUGAGAUAGACGUUUGGCCUGAGUUUCAGAAUCUGACAGGAGACGUGAUCUCUCGAACAGCCUUUGGAAGCAGCUAUGAGGAAGGAACGAAAAUAUUUGAACUGCAAAAGGAGCAAGCUGUCCUGGUCAUAGAAGCUGCCCGAGUCCCCUAUAUACCAGGAUUCAGGUGAAAUUAUUAUUAUUAUUAUUAUUAUGAUUGUAUGAUGCACAUCUGUUCUCUUCAUAUUAGAUAGUGUGGUUUAGGUACUUAAUUCAGAUUCUUUUAGCAUUCAUUACGCAUUUGGUGCAGAUUCCUCCCUACUGCAAAGAAUAAGAGGAGAAUGCACAUAGACAGAGAGAUCAAGACCAUGCUAAGAAAUAUGAUCGAAAAGAAGUUGAAUUCCAUGAAAAUGGGAGGAUCUCUCGGCACCGACUUGCUUGGCUUGUUGCUGCAGUUCAGUAACAAUAAUGAUCAGAAGAACUAUAGUAUUACGAUCGAUGAGGUGAUAGAAGAGUGCAAGCUCUUCUACUUUGCUGGUCAAGAGACAACCUCAGUGUGGCUAACAUGGACGAUGAUUCUCCUGUCCUUUCAUCCAAAUUGGCAACAAAGAGCGAGGGAAGAAGUUCUGAAAAUCUGUGGGAAGAAUACACCUGAUUUUGAGUCAGUAGGACACUUGAAAAUUGUGAGCAUCAGCCCUUCAUUGUUGCUAUCCAGAUAUCUGUUGUCAUGCCCUCGCCUGCACGGAGCAGGUGAGGCACCCAGUGCCCACAUGGGGGCCACAUGAGGGGGGAACACAGGGCUCCCCUGCCCGAAACGCGUCUGCAGGAUUUGGAGACACCCGCCUCAUAUGCCUAGGCUCUAGAACGAGUCUUUCCGAUGUGGGACUAUUGGGCCUCAUACCCUUCCCAUUAUCGGACAAGAGCCGUCCUCGCCUCUGAUACCAAAUGUCAUGCCCCCGCCUGCGCGGGGCACGUGAGGCACCUAGUGCUCACGUGGGGGCCACAUGAGGGGGGAACACAGGGCUCCUCUGCCAGAUAUUGUCCGGUUCCGGAGCUUCACGCAAACGUCACACCUGUUUCACUUCUAAUAGGCUAGAGUCACACUUCUUUCUGUCUAUUUACACUUGCUAACUUCAAUUACAGGUAACCAUGAUACUUUAUGAGGUUUUGAGAUUGUAUCCACCCGCAACCUCUCUCUUUCGACGUGCAAUCAAGGAAACAAAGCUAGGAGAUUUCUCUGUCCCUGCUGGCACCGAUAUCUGGCUACCCACAAUCCUCAUCCACCAUGAUCGAGAAUUUUGGGGCGAAGAUGCCAAUGAGUUCAAUCCAGAGAGAUUUUCAGAAGGGAUUGCAAAGGCAUCAAAAGUUCAAAAUGCAUUCUUUCCUUUUGGAUGGGGACCAAGGAUAUGUUUGGGCCAGAGUUUUGCAACGAUAGAAGCAAAGAUGGCUUUGGCUACUAUUCUCCAACACUUUUCCUUUGAGCUGUCACCUUCCUAUGCUCAUGCUCCUUAUACCGUUAUUACUCUUCAGCCACAAUUUGGAGCUCAUAUCAUCCUUCAUCAACUUUUAUACUAGUAAAGGUUGUUAAAACUUCAGUACAAGUGCUAUGUUUCAAUUAUUUUCUUGGUAUUUGCAGUAAUAUUCUUACUAUAUGAUCUUAUCUAACACCAACAUAUAAUGGUGCUUAAUCUUCAUCAUUAAGGUAAAGGUGUGUCCUUGAAAUGGAUGGACUCAAUCUUUCUUAUUGGAGAGUGUAUGCAAUACCUAUUUGUAUUGAAUGGAUGAUAGGAGCUCUAGUGCUGAGACUCUAUUUCUGGUUCUGCAUUAAAUGAAAGCUAAUCUUUAUAAUUAACAUCUCCAUCACAGCUUUCUCAUUUUAUAAAAUACAUACCUGCAAGAAUUGACUACUUGUAGGCUCAUGAAGAGGAAAAUGAUGUUAAGAACCUCUCAGUUUCCGUCAUACAAGAGCAAAAGUCCUAUUCCAUAACCUUAAAACCUUGACUGGUUUAAGUGGGCAAUGCCUGGAGCAAGAAGCAUGGUUUGCUGUCAUGUCUACCAGAUUAUUUGAGUAAACGGCAGUUGUAUCUGGAUAGAUGAAGAUACUGCCUUCUGUUCUUCGAUUAGAGAAACGGAGUUAAAAGUAAUUCUAUACUUAAAACGUUGUUUCUGGAUUCUACUUUUCGCGCUUUAUUGUUGUAAUGUAUAUAUCAGUGCUUCAUUGUUAAUGAGGUCUUAAGUCGUAAGCUUUUUAGUUUUUAUGUGAAGCACUGUUUAAACUGAGGCAAUGUUUUCCUCUGCAUGGCCAGUCAAAUGCUCCCGAAUUCCUUUAAAUCUCUGCCACUCAUGUAAGGCUUCCUCAAAAUCUAAAUAGUCUCUUGGUAUUGAGUAUAUGGCUCUCAACUGCUUGUGUAUAACAUGUUAUGGGCACAGUUCCUGAAAAAAUUCCAUUUCACUCUGUUCCCGAAAGAUUUAAUAGUAGGCAGAAUUGAGCAAUUGGUUGUUGGGACUGUGCACUCCUGCUCAUACAUCUAAUGGAACUGGUUUAGCCUUUGAAGUUCCACUAGUUUUUUUUUUUUCCAGUUCAAUAGAGAGAACUAACAUGGAAAUAUCAAGACUGUAAUCAUGAUUAAGGUUUUAGUUUUUUUUUUCUCAUAGAAGAAAAUUGUCAUGGCCAGGCUUGGUCAGACUCUUUAAGAAAAGAAUGGGCGUCCACCAGAGCAUUUCAUUCCGUUGUCUCAACACUGUAUUAUCUUUGUGGAGGAUUUCAACCCCCCAAACCCCCCUGCCGGGAAAAAAAAUUGCAUAGAAGCUAGCAAGAGAUGCUACAAACGGCCACACAAGAGCAAUAGCAGUACCUUAGCCUGGGAUUGGAGCGUGGGCUAAAUCCCUUUCCAGAUGCUUCUUAUAGCUUUUUUGGAGCAUCGCUAAAAGUUUGGGAUUUUCUACAAUAUUUGAAGCCUAUAGUUGAUGUUUCCUGCUUACUUUUUAUAUUCUCUGCUUUCGUCCAAGUUGUCUUGGAAAAGAGUUUUUGUUACAAACAAGCCACACCUGAAGAAGAAGAAGUUAUGCCUCAAUAAAAUAGUAUACUCCAAUCGAAACUUUAGUUCACUCUCAUGCAUCCGAAUCUUUCAUAGUUUACAUAUAGCUAUCUGUUAUUUUUUCUGUGGACAAUAUCCAUGAAAAUAUCUCUAUUUUUUCAGUCCUAUAUUAAAUUAAUGAAAGAGGUGCCAUGUGGGUUUAUUAACCUAUAUCAGUCCUCCUAAUUGCUGAAGUUUUUAGAUUGUUAGGCUGAGACAAGUAGUAUCAAAGCCAGAUCCAUUGCGCGUCAUAACUUUUAUUAACCAUGUAGAUGCUUCACUGAGGGAAACCAGGAUUGAGGAGGAUCUGAUAGGAUUAAGUAAGAUCUGCGCUAUGAGUGGACCCCUCUCUCUUAAGCAGGAGUUAAACUGUAAUGAGGGCAUCAUAGUCCCACAUUGAUGAAUAAAAAAGGUACCACAUAAGCUUAUUAGCAUGCGCCAGUUUUUCUCCCAAUAACUCCAGCUUUUUAGCUGUUGUAACCUGAUAGAUUGUAUCUUAUUCCAGGCUGCUGUGCUUAUGAGAGCAAGAUAUGCAUUCAUAAAAGAAGGGAGUAACCGGAAAAUAAAACAUACCACAGGGAAGUAACUAGGAAGAAGGAUAUGGUAAUGACAAUUCUAAAAUAUAAGUAAAUAAAUAAAUAACUUGGCACGAGGACACAUCACCAUAAGAUUACUUGUUUUGUAGUAGCAGAGACUUCUUUCUCUUGGUGAACAAGCAUUCAAUCAGAAACGACUCACGCAGCAUCACAAAUUAGAAACAAACUUAUCUGUGUGACAUCAAGCUUAGGAGGUGAUUGGUAGACCCACCGCCACCUUCGGAACUCAGCCUCUCAAGUUCGCCCAGAGUUCUUUCCCCCACAAGCUAGCGUCCUGUCCCACGCUUCAUAGCAUUUAUUGUCGGCAAACCAUCCGCCGUGAAGUGAGCGAAGUCGUCACGCUCAUGGCCCCAAAAGUCAGAGCAGAAGGUUGCAAUAGCCUCGGCUUCACGUACCUGUUCCCAGUUUAACUUGAUCCCAAAGACACAACUUCUAAUUUCUUUUACUAAAAUGAGCACAAAGUCUUCUUUGCCAAAGAAGAGACUAGGGAGUAUAGACUUUGUGGCAUUUAAGUAGCCAUCGCCCUCUAUCUUUAUCCCUCAAUAACAAAAGUGAAUAAGAGAGAACAUAAUGGAAGACUUCCUUCCUCUUCUUCUGAUAGCUUCUCCGCUCGCUGUGUUACUGUACCGUGGGCCGAGAGCGUUCUACUCCCUGUGGUGGAAACCCAAAGCCUUGGAGAAACAACUAAGGCUGCAAGGCAUCAGAGGCAGCGCAUACAACCUCCUUCAUGGGGACAGUAAGGCGGAGAUACAGGCAGCAAAGGAAGCAUGGUCCAAGCCCAUCAAUCUGACCCACAAGAUCGUGACGCGUGUCGUUCCAUUCGCUUAUCAGACGGUGCAGAGAUAUGGUACUAUGCCAUCAUGAUUUGAGCUUCAUUUACAAGAUACUAGUGUUUGCUUCUUUGAUCAUUUAAUGUUAUGCUCGUGAGUUCUCACAGGGAAGACUUCGUUUAUAUGGAAUGGAGAAACUCCGAGGGUGAUCGUAUGCGACCCGGAGAUGGUGAGGGAGGUGCUGCUGGACAAGCUGGGCUGAUUUCAGAAGCCACCAGUGAACCCUCUGAUAAAGCUCCCAGCCAUGGGGCUCACAAGCCUUGAAGGAGAGGAAUGGGCUAAACGGAGGAGGGUGAUCUCCCCUGCUUUCCACCUUGAGAAAUUGAAGGUUUGCAGAUCUACAUCCACAGGCUCAUUUUUACUCCAUACGAAUAAAGGAUAAUUUUUGACGUUAUUAAUCACCAAACAAGGCCUGACCAAUUAGUCUUAUGAUCGAACAUAAUCACUGCACCAAGUUUUUUAUUUAACGUUCAGUCUUCUUACUUGCUGAGCCAAUUUUUGCAGAGAGUGUAUGUUGGAUCUUUAGACAAAUUAAGAUGGAUUCCUACUUAAACGAUAAAACUAAGAAAAACACUUCAUCAUUCCCACAAUAAACCACGAUGGUGGAUCCAUCUUAUUGACUUUGUCGGCAUUAUACAGAUGCAGCAGACUUUAAUACUUCACAUUUGCUUCAAAAAAUAACUAUAAAAUUUCAAAUAACUACAAAGAACUCCGGGGAUUAUGUGCAGGUGUGCGGGACCGUAAGGGCGUAUAUUUAGUUCCACAUCGGUUAUUCGCUGAAAAAAAUUUGGAUAUUUAUACAGGACUAUGGAAUUCAAAAAAAAAAAUCUUCUGAGUAAUCUUUUUUUUUAGAUGAGGUUCAGAGUUAGAAAAAAUAUACGAGCCCCCUAAGUUGCAUCAAUUUUAUUUCUUCUCAAACAGAAAGUCACAUCACUUUCAUAACUAGAACAAGCUAACAUUCAUUAAGCAAAAUGAGAACAAAUCUCCAACCAGCAGAUCCAGGUAAGAGCACGAGAAUUAUUGCAAAUAACUCGAUACAGUAGAGCAUACUGAUUGUGUUAAGGCUCCGACCAAGAUAUGAAGUGCGCAGUCCUCAUUUUAGUUUCACAAUUUUCAUUCACAGGGAAUGAUGCCUGCCUUUUAUACUAGUUGCAUUGAUUUGAUAAAAAGAUGGCAGAACUUAACUAGCACUGAAGGAUCUUGUGAGAUAAAUGUUUGGCCAGAAUUUGAGGGUCUAACAGGUGAUGCCAUCUCCCGAGCAGCAUUUGGAAGCGGCUUUGCAGAAGGCAAGAAAAUAUUUGAACUGCAAAAGGAGGAAUCCGUCCUAGUGAUCGAAGCCGCAUGGGCUCCUUACAUACCAGGCUUCAGGUGAAUUCAUGGCUGUCAUUUCUGUCCACAUCUUCUCUUUGAAUUAUAUUUUUGGGAGAAACAAGUAAUUCAGAUUUAUUCCACUGAAGUUAUGUAUUUUUAUAUCUUGCUUCAAUAGACAACCCUAGGACAAAUGCAAGGAGAGAGGAAGAUUGAUAGGCUAAAUCUUUACUAUUAAAUUUUUGGUACAAGUUCUUACCUACUGCAAAAAAUAAGAGGAGAAUGUACAUAGACAGAGAGAUCAAAACCAUGAUAAAAGAGAUCAACAGGAAGUUGAAUUCCAUGAAAGUGGACAAAUCUAGUGGCGAUGACUUGCUUGGCUUGUUGCUCCAAUUCAGUCACAAUAACAAUCAGGACUAUGGAAUCACAAUAGAUGACGUGAUAGAGGAAUGCAAGCUAUUCUACUUCGCCGGCCAGGACACAACCUCUGCAUGGCUAACAUGGACAGUGCUUCUCCUAGCCAUGCAUCCCAGCUGGCAACAGAGAGCAAGGGAAGAAGUUCUGAACAUCUGUGGGAAGAAUACGCCAGAUUUUGAAUCCCUGAGCCGCCUUAAGAUUGUGAGUACCAUAACUUUCACCUUUCUCUGUUAAUAGGAUAUCAUCACACUUCUUUCUGACUAUUUUGCACUUGGGAAACUUGGAUUGCAGGUAACCAUGAUACUGCAUGAGGUUUUGAGGUUAUAUCCACCUGUGGUCUCUCUGUAUCGACACACCAUCAAGAAAACAAAAUUAGGAAAUUUCUCCUUCCCUGCUGGUGUUGAUCUCUUGCUACCCACAAUCCUCAUCCACCAUGAUCAAGAGUUUUGGGGUGAAGAUGCUGAAGAGUUCAAGCCAGAGAGAUUUUCAGAAGGGGUUUUAAAGGCAUCAAAAGUUCAGAAUGCAUUCCUUCCCUUCGGUUGGGGACCAAGGACAUGUUUGGGCCAGAAUUUUGCAAGAAUAGAGGCAAAGAUAGCUCUGGCUACUAUCCUCCAACAUUUUUCUUUCGAGCUCUCACCCUCCUAUUCUCAUGCUCCUUAUACUGUCAUAACUCUUCAGCCACAAUAUGGAGCUCAUAUCAUACCUCAUCAACUCUGAGACUAUAGUGAAGGAUGUUAAUGUUUUGGAGCAUGUCCUACCGUACAAGUUUUCUCACAUAAAAAGGUGUUUUCUUAUAGUUAGUUUUGGCAUUUGUAGUAGUGUCCAGUAAAUAAUGAUGCUUAAUCAUUAUUAUGAAGGUGAAAGAGAGGUUGGAUAAGCUAGCUGCCUUUAUUAUUAUAACAGUGUUAGUAAUCAUUAUUUAUAUGGAAUGAAUGAUGAGAGCUUGUAUGAAUACCCUUGUUCUGAUCUGCAAUAAAGUGACUUCAUACAGAAGGUGAUGAUGUAAUGUGUGAAUGAUAUCCCUCUACUGCAGAUUGAUAAGUUUCAUGCGUAUGAUAGAUACUCAAAGGCACAUAAGAAUUCUUAAGUUACCGUUCGGAAGUAAGCUAGAUAUUUCGGAGCAUUUGAUUGCUUGGUAAGACUAAAGCUGAUAGGAACAUUACCGUAGUAUGCUGUACUGGCCCGAAUUGGGCGGUACGGGAUGUACCGUACCAUAAAGUUUGGUACCGGUACUCAGUAUAUGUGGCGUACCGACAUUUGAUAUGCUAAAAAAAUUCUAUAUUGUGCCGUACCGACACUGUGCCAGUAUAGCACUGAUACAGAGUCCGAUACCGAGACGGUGAACCUUAAAUAUUACAAAUCUUGUUAUAGCAUGAUGACUGAAACAAAAGUACCUAAAGAGUUGCUGGAUAGAGGUGUUUCGUUCUGGAAAUGUUCAUCAUACAUACAGCUAUGGCAAUGGUGUUCUCAUGACAAUAAAAGUAACAGGAUCAUGCAAAUAAGCCAGUAUACAUUACAAUCAGGACUCCGUCAUCUUAGACUUUGUGGAGUAUGAUCUGAGCUCCAUGUUGUGGUUGAACAGUAAGAAGAUAGUAUGGAGAGUGAAUAUAGGUGGGUGAGAGCUCAAACGAGAAGUGCUGCAAGAUCAUUGACAGAGCAAGCUUUGCUUCUAUAAGGGCAAAGUUCUGGCCCACACAGGCUUUUGGCCCCCAGCCAAAUGGGAAGAAUGCCGCUUGCUUCUUUGAAGCAUUUGAGACGCCCCUGGAAAACCUCUGUGGUUUGAACUCUUCAGCAUCUGUGCCCCAGAUCUCAGGAUCAUGGUUUUCAAGAAGUGUAGGCAGCAAAAGGUUCAAACCUGCAGGGAGAGAGACCCCUCCGAUCUUUGAUCUUCUAUAUGUGUACCGGUAUUGAAUGGGCACCGAUGGAUAUAAUCUUAAAAUUUCAUGUAGUAUUAUGUUUAUCUGUGGAAACAAUUUGCAGUUGUAGCUAAGAAGCAUAUCCAGUACAGUUAUAUACAUCUCGAUAUCAUUAUUGGUUCUCAGUCCCUUUGAAAACAUUACUCUAGACUAGAAACUAUGAUUGAUUCUUCAAGGUGUCUUGUAAUAAAUUUAUCAGAAGCCAAACUCAUGAGGAUAAUUUGACAAGAUGGAUAAACCUGAUUACCAUGCAUAACUUAAAUUCUGCAGCAAUUCUAGACAACAUGAGGACUAAACCAUGAUGGAAAAAGAGAAAGGUAAAACUUCAAUAUAGACAAUCUUUAGAGGUUUCAGUGUCAGGUCAAAUAUACUCCAUGAGUUAAAGCAGAUCCAUGGGAAAAAGAAGUGGGUGAAAUUUAUUUAUUUGUUCUCUGCCACAAGCAAUCAGCAGAAAAUAUGGUGAACAGUUUUGCAGGAUUGUGAUAAUUAUUUCGGAGUACCCCAAGUUAUGUUGAUCACUCAGCCUCUAGCCUUGAAAGUGAAUGGGUUAUGAGAACACCAAAGCUAAACAUUUAAAAGCAUUUCAAGAAUGCACAGAUGGAAUAAGAUCCUGAGUUUUUUUGUCCGUCAAAUUGCAAGGUGAGGGAAGCCUCCUUAUGAAGUGAGAUCAUGUCAUGUUUGAAUAAUCUGAUUCAUCAAGAUCGGGAAGAUAAGAAGAUCUUGUAUACAGAAAGUUAAGCAACUAAAUAGCUCAGUACCUCGCCAAUCAUAGCCUUGAAGGCUUAUAGCCUCAUCUUAUCGUUUGCUGUCAGACCUGACUUGAUGUCGGAUCCAAAGCAAAGGCAACUACAAUCUGUUCAAGGAAAUGGUCAUAGUUGUAUGUUUAUUUUUUCUUUGCAAACCCCCCUCAAAAGAAAAAGGGAAAAAGAAAAAGAAAACAUUCUUUGCAGACAAGAUUCAAAUUACAUAGUUAUUAACUGAUAUGCCUCAAGUCAAUCCCCAUUCAGUUUAAUCCAUAGAUGAACAAAAAGAAAC